GGCUACUAUGUUGGACAGCUGAGGCUAAAGCUUAUCUGGCAGCUGAGAACCCUUGCUGAGCAGGCACUAUGGUAUCAGCCACAAGAAGGAAAGCUGGGAGCCCCUCUGAGUGCAACCAUUUUGUUGCAGAUGCCUUGAAGAAUCUGGACAGCAGAAUGCUCAGGCAUCAGAUGGUUCCCUCCACAUGAAUGUACCUGAGCAGCCAUGACAACUUCUGUAAUGUCACCAAAGGAGCGGAAGGAACUCAGAAAGUCCUGCCAGAACUCUUUGCUCUCCCUCCCUCCACUGCUUUGCUUUGUGUCAGUUCCUGUGAGAUUCUCAUUUGCAGUGAAGCAAGAGGGAAGAGUGCUGGCACUGUAGAGAUAUGGUGGCAAAAGCCUCG
rnacentral:lncRNA from 1 species